CGUAGGGCGCGAGCGUUGUCCGGAAUUAUUGGGCGUAAAGAGCUCGUAGGCGGCUGGUCGCGUCUGUCGUGAAAUCCUCUGGCUUAACUGGGGGCGUGCGGUGGGUACGGGCCGGCUUGAGUGCGGUAGGGGAGGCUGGAAUUCCUGGUGUAGCGGUGGAAUGCGCAGAUAUCAGGAGGAACACCGGUGGCGAAGGCGGGUCUCUGGGCCUGUACUGACGCUGAGGAGCGAAAGCGUGGGGAGCGAACAGGAUU
rnacentral:rRNA from 1 species